rnacentral:tRNA from 3 species
AGUCCUGCAGUAGAUGUUUAUGUUGGAUUGCAAAUCCAAAGAUGGAGAUUAGUUUCUCCCGGGGCUU